GUCCUUAGUUGCUACCAUUUAGUUGAGCACUCUAAGGAGACUGCCGGUGAUAAGCCGCGAGGAAGGUGGGGAUGACGUCAAGUCCUCAUGGCCCUUACGGGUUGGGCUACACACGUGCUACAAUGGUAGUGACAAUGGGUUAAUCCCAAAAAGCUAUCUCAGUUCGGAUUGGGGUCUGCAACUCGACCCCAUGAAGUCGGAGUCGCUAGUAAUCGCAGAUCAGCAAUGCUGCGGUGAAUACGUUCCCGGGCCUUGUACACACCGCCCGUCACACCAUGGG
rnacentral:rRNA from 1 species